rnacentral:rRNA from 1 species
CAGUAGCCGCGGUAAUACGAAGGGGGCUAGCGUUGUUCGGAUUUACUGGGCGUAAAGGGCGCGUAGGCGGACUGAUAAGUCAGGGGUGAAAUCCCAAGGCUCAACCUUGGAACUGCCUUUGAUACUGUUUGUCUUGAGUUCGAGAGAGGUAAGUGGAACUGCGAGUGUAGAGGUGAAAUUCGUAGAUAUUCGCAAGAACACCAGUGGCGAAGGCGGCUUACUGGCUCGAAACUGACGCUGAGGCGCGAAAGCGUUGGAGCAAACAGGAUUAGAGACCCCUGUAGUCCCUGUCUCUUAUACA